rnacentral:piRNA from 1 species
AAGAGAUAGAAUGAGAAGGGGACCU